rnacentral:rRNA from 1 species
AUAACAUGUCUGUGAUGCCCUUAGAUGUCCGGGGCUGCACGCGCGCUACACUGACUGGCUCAGCGUGUGCCUACCCUACGCCGGCAGGCGCGGGUAACCCGUUGAACCCCAUUCGUGAUGGGGAUCGGGGAUUGCAAUUAUUCCCCAUGAACGAGGAAUUCCCAGUAAGUGCGGGUCAUAAGCUUGCGUUGAUUAAGUCCCUGCCCUUUGUACACACCGCCCGUCG